rnacentral:rRNA from 1 species
CCUACGGGUGGCUGCAGUGGGGAAUUUUGGACAAUGGGCGCAAGCCUGAUCCAGCCAUUCCGCGUGAGUGAAGAAGGCCUUCGGGUUGUAAAGCUCUUUCGCAAGGGAAGAAAACUUAUCCUCUAACAUAGGAUGAGGUUGACGGUACCUUGAUAAGAAGCACCGGCUAACUACGUGCCAGCAGCCGCGGUAAUACGUAGGGUGCGAGCGGUAAUUGGAGUUACUGGGGGUAAUGUUUGAGGUCACUGGUGAAAUCCCCGAGCUCAACUUGGGAACUGCGUUUUAAACUACAAGACUAGAAUAGGUCAGAGGGGGGUAGAAUUCCACGUGUAGCAGUGAAAUGCGUAGAGAUGUGGAGGAAUAUCAAUGGCGAAGGCAGCCCCCUGGGAUCAUAUUGACGCUCAUGCACGAAAGCGUGGGGAGCAAACAGGAUUAGAUACCCGAGUAGUC